GAUGAACGCUGGCGGCGUGCCUAAUACAUGCAAGUCGAGCGAACAGACGAGGAGCUUGCUCCUCUGACGUUAGCGGCGGACGGGUGAGUAACACGUGGAUAACCUACCUAUAUGACUGGUAUAACUUCGGGAAACCGGCGCUAAUACCGGAUAAUAUAUUGCUCCGCAUGGUUCAAUAGUGAAAGACGGUUUUGCUGUCACUUAUCGAUGGAUCCGCGCCGCAUUAGCUAGUUGGUAAGGUAACGGCUUACCAAGGCUACGAUGCGUAGCCGACCUGUGAGGGUGAUCGGCCACACUGGAACUGAGACACGGUCCAGACUCCUACGGGAGGCAGCAGUAGGGAAUCUGACGCAAUGGGCGAAAGCUUGACGGAGCAACGCCGCGUGAGUGAUGAAGGUCUUCGGAUCGUAAAACUCUGUUAUUAGGGAAGAACAAAUGUGUAAGUAACUAUGCACGUCUUGACGGUACCUAAUCAGAAAGCCACGGCUAACUACGUG
rnacentral:rRNA from 1 species